GCUGAGCAGAUCCUUGUCAGUGACUCAUCUGUGAAGUCUGAGGCUUGUCUCAACUUCAAAGGCCUUGGGAGGCACAAGAUCCUCUGGAGGAUGAGGUUGCAGCUGGUUAGGUUGUGUGUGCAGGAGCCUUAGGAGAAUGAUUAGGGAGCUGUGAUCAAGGAACCUGUUAACUUGGGAUCUGUCUGCCUUUGUCUUCACUGGGAUAUCACUGAGGGCUCACCCUUUCAUGACAACCGGCUCCUUAGCUUGUGGGAGGGUUGCUGAAAUAGGGGGUGUUUGAGGUCUGGUUGGGGUCUCCUCCCAAAAGCAAUUAAAAAUGAUGCCUUGAUCCAAGAAUUUGAAAUGCCUCACCUGGUGACCCAAAUGCUGCUCUCCAUGCGCUCUGGUCUGUAGGGCCAGGCUGCCCCCUGCUGCGUCUUCGUCUCUUUGUCUGCUGUAACGGGGCUGGAUAGCCCCUUGUCACAAAGGGGAUUCGGUGUCAGGCUCUGAUCCUGAAGUGUAAAUGGAAAAGGCAAAGAGGUUUCUCUCUGCAAAUGGAAGCCUGCUCUUUGGUCUCUUAAUGGAUCAGCCCAGGAGUCUGCAUGUUAAUAACAGCUCUGAGACUAGUUAGAAGAGGGUGAUGAGAUCCAGGGUCUCGGCACCAUUCCAAGUGGCUGCUGGAGGUGUGUUGUUGGGUUUCUGGAAUGUUAUUGCAGCUAUUGUGAUAAACUGGAAUCCAGGAGUGAAAGGACAAAAUCUGGUUGUGCACCAGCUCGUACACAGGAGGAGCUGUCCGGUCAACUCAGCCCCCGAGCUAGGGAGGCUAUGCAGGCUGGAGUAUACAAGGCGUGCCAGGGGGGAAAUUGCACUGCCAUUGGGCCUUCCUGCAAACCUGAUUGUCAUGCCAGCCUGGUGCUCGUUUUCCCGUCUCCCUACUCAGCUCAACAGCCCACCC